rnacentral:lncRNA from 1 species
UCUGGCACGUCCGGGAACACCUCGUUCGGGUACAUCCUCUGCAUCAUCUCCAUCAUUUGCUGGUUCAGCCUCCUCUGUGCCUCAUAGCCCGCCUGUUGAGCCGCCAUCUGGGUCUCCAACAAAGAUAUGCGAUCAUCCUUGUCUUUCAACUGAGCCGUAAGUACUUCUGGAUCAACAAAGGGCGGUGGUGCAGAAGAAGGAGGAACCGACCGGGUGCGACGACCCAAACCGACCAAACGUCCCUUCUUCUUUGGAAC